rnacentral:rRNA from 1 species
AACGAACGCUGGCGGCAUGCCUAACACAUGCAAGUCGAACGGGAUCCUAGCUUGCUAGGUGAGAGUGGCGGACGGGUGAGUAACACGUGGGAAUCUGCCUUUUGGUUCGGGAUAACCGCGGGAAACUGCGGCUAAUACCGAAUGCCCUCGAGAGAGGAAAGAUUUAUCGCCAGAAGAGGAGCCCGCGUCCGAUUAGGUAGUUGGUGGGGUAAAGGCCUACCAAGCCGACGAUCGGUAGCUGGUCUGAGAGGAUGAUCAGCCACACUGGGACUGAGAUACGGCCCAGACUCCUACGGGAGGCAGCAGUGGGGAAUA